rnacentral:lncRNA from 13 species
UUGACAGACGUCUUUGGCUUCGCUCCAGACAGGCUCAGCUAGUAGAACUUACAUCACCAUGACAACCGACGUGGAGAUGCUUGCUCAGCAGAUAGUGGUCCAUGAGCAGGUGGCAGAGCGAGGCCCUGCAAGCGGAGGCUCUAGCCAGGAUGGAGGCUGCUAACCCAGCCAAGUUUGGGCCUGAGAAGUACUGUCUGAAAGGAGGUCCCCUGCGACCAGCACCACCCAAAGAGAUGACAGGGAAAGACCACGCUCAGGUGCUAGCUGCACAGGACUAAGACUGGAAGGAAUCAUGGACUGAACUGUUAUUUAGUAGUAUAUCAUGUUUCACUGGAAAUAUUGUGGAUGUUUCUGUACAUUAAAAACCAGACAGGAUUUAGUUUCAUUGUCAGCUGUUGUAAACAAUGAUGAUUUGGAGAUCGGUGAACUAGAAUCUGCUCCUUAGAUUCGUGAGGUUGAAAGUAUAUAAUCUUUGCAACACACUAUCACAUCGUGUCGAUGGAGUGGGUGAAUGAAAAGGCCACAUCCUAUUGUUCACAUAGGUCAUGUCUUUAAUUAGUGUUGUGUGACGGAACCUUCUACGAUAACAAAAGGCAAACUGGCAACAUUAUCAAAGCUACUCGACAAGUCAUUCACAUUUGCCACAAAUACAUUAUUCAUGUAUGAAAAUGUUUGGUUUAGAUGCAACACAGCUGAGAGUUAGUGGUGCAUGAUCGAUUACAGCGAACACAAUACUGCUUUAGUUCAAAAUGACAAGUACUAUUGUAUACUUUGCAAGGAAAGCGAACCAGUACUUGGAUACAUCAAAGUACUUAUUCAACAGGUGACACAGGAGUUUGCCAACAGUAUAAAUUAUACUUGGUAGCGUGGAAUAGGUUUAGUGUUAAUCUAUUGUCAUAGGUAAAUUAUCUUUAAGAGAUUAAUCAAGAUAGUCUUUUAUCCUAAAGUUGCCACAACCUUAUGGAUACAGAGCAGGCUGAUAUAGGUGCCAAGCAGAGCACUCUGUGUGCCUCAGACCUAAACAGCUCAACUGUUGGUGUUCUGAGUUAAUGGUAAGUGAUGCCAAGAAAGACUUUGCUGAAUCAGUUGCAUAAAUACACUAAAUACAGACUGAAGUUACAAGACUAGACAGCUAUUGAAUAAGGAUGACAAAGGCCAAUAUUCUGAACCAGGCUUGGCAUAAGAGAAAGUAAAUGGGAUGUUUUUUUUUACCCUGUAAAGAGCUUUAGAUUUGUUCAGAGCAGGACAGAUUCUGACCCUCAGUGCACUAAGAGAGAACAGUAGGAGAAAAAGCAUGAGAGACUAGGACAAUAUCAGCUUUGAAAGCCUACUUUGGACCACUGCUGAAGUGCCUCCUAGUGAUGUACACACACUGAAAGCUAAUGCAUCUAUCCUGCAACAGACACAAACCAGCUUACAGAAACUGAAGGAGGCAAAGUAGGAUUUCAAAAACAGUUUGUUGGUUUCGCUCAUGUUUUGUUCAACAUUUUCUUCU